ACCCUGCCUUCGGGCGGGGGCUCCGGGUGGACACUUCAAACUCUUGCGUAACUUUGCAGUGGGGGGAAAUUCCCCCCCCCAAUUAAAACUUUUAACAACGGAUCUCUUGGUUCUGGCAUCGAUGAAGAACGCAGCGAAAUGCGAUAAGUAAUGUGAAUUGCAGAAUUCAGUGAAUCAUCGAAUCUUUGAACGCACAUUGCGCCCCCUGGUAUUCCGGGGGGCAUGCCUGUUCGAGCGUCAUUUCACCACUCAAGCCUCGCUUGGUAUUGGGCAACGCGGUCCGCCGCGUGCCUCAAAUCGACCGGCUGGGUCUUCUGUCCCCUAAGCGUUGUGGAAACUAUUCGCUAAAGGGUGCUCGGGAGGCUACGCCGUAAAACAAACCCAUUUCUAAGGUUGACCUCGGAUCAGGUAGGGAUACCCGCUGAACUUAAGCAUAUCAAUAAGCGGAGGAA
rnacentral:rRNA from 1 species